rnacentral:rRNA from 1 species
UACAGAGGGUGCAAGCGUUGUUCGGAAUUAUUGGGCGUAAAGCGCGUGUAGGCGGCUUUGCAAGUCGGGUGUGAAAGCCCUCAGCUCAACUGAGGAAGUGCGCCCGAAACUGCAGAGCUUGAGUACCGGAGAGGAUGGCGGAAUUCCCCAAGUAGAGGUGAAAUUCGUAGAUAUGGGGAGGAAUACCGGUGGCGAAGGCGGCAUCCUGGACCGACAUUGACGCUGAACGGCGAAAGCUAGGGGAGCAAACGGG